rnacentral:misc_RNA from 1 species
UUUCAUUGUUGUGGAUGCUGGUGAGACCUUCAUUCCUGAAAAGCAAGAAAGUCUUCCAAUUGGUUCUGAGAAAUAUGUCCCUGCAUGUGCAUGGACCUAUGUCUAUGCUGCUAAUUCCGGUCAGACGAUGCUACAUGCAACAUUGUCAAAAGAAUUUCAACAGUAUGAUCACUCUACCAGUGGUUCUGUUGUACUGCAAGCAACCUCGCGUAUUGCAGCAUUCGUACCUCUCAUUUUGCACCCUGCAAGUGAUGGAAAUCAGUUUGGUGGUUAUUGGUUCAACUUGGUACAGGCUGAAGCUGAUAAUCGCUUAGAAAAUAUGGAGCAUCUAUAUCUUACCCCUGGCACAUCUUUUGAAGUGAUGCUUCGUGGUGGACCUACUCGAUGGGAUCAGGGAGUUGAAUAUGUUGAAUCCGUGGAAAGUUUGGAUGAACAUAAUCUUAGGG